rnacentral:rRNA from 1 species
AGUGAACGCUGGCGGCAGGCCUAAUACAUGCAAGUCGAACGGCAGCACAGCAGAGCUUGCUCUGUGGGUGGCGAGUGGCGGACGGGUGAGGAAUACGUGGGAAUCUGCCCAGUCGUGGGGAUAACGUAGGGAAACUUACGCUAAUACCGCAUGCGCCCUUCGGGGAAAGCCGGGGACCUUCGGGCCUGGCGCGAUUGGAUGAGCCCACGUCGGAUUAGCUAGUUGGCGGGGUAAAGGCCCACCAAGGCGACGAUCCGUAGCUGGUCUGAGAGGAUGAUCAGCCACACUGGAACUGAGACACGGUCCAGACUCCUACGGGAGGCAGCAGUAGGGAAUAUUGGACAAUGGGCGCAAGCCUGAUCCAGCCAUGCCGCGUGAGUGAAGAAGGCCCUCGGGUUGUAAAGCUCUUUGUCCGGAAAGAAAGCGCCGGGUUAAUACCCUGGUGUCCUGACGGUACCGGAAGAUAAGCACCGGCUAACUUCGUGCCAGCAGCCGCGGUAAU